GACUGGUCCGAUUGUAGUGGGUUCAUACGAUUGAUAUAUCCAGAGUCAGUUAUGUAGAGUCCUUGUUUGUGACCCCAACCCGCUCACUACACAAUUUGACUAGUCUUUU
ensembl:Y_RNA Y_RNA Y RNA